AACCUAACCCUAUGGAUUAUCCAAAGGUAUGGUUGAAGUCUUACACAGUAAAAAACUCCUCGUGAGGAUUGCUGUGUAAGCCCUGUCGGGAAACUGGCAGUGGGUAGCUAAGCUACC
rnacentral:sRNA from 12 species